GAAGACCAAAUCGCGGGCGUUGACCCGAGUCCCUCUCUCCUUCUCUCUCUCUCCGCCGGGGCAUCUUCUCUGACCGGAAUCUCGGCCGUCCGGCCACGGCUCAUCACAAACCUGGUUCCAAAAUGUUUGUUUCCUUUUCCCCUACAUAACCCAGUUCACAAACCACACAUUCGCUCACCCAUGGAGGAGAUCAAAAUCGAUGAACAUCUCUGUGUUCAUCGGAUUCCGACGAAGACCGGCGGUGACUGCAACUGCGGCGUGUAUGGUUGCUCUCCUCCCUCUUCUGCUACUCACCAACUCGGUAUGCAUCGACUCUCCCUUUCGAAUUGAAAUCCAAAAACCCUAAUCCCCAAAUCCAAUUUCCGGCCGAACCUCUCUCUCUCCGGUGAACUCGUGCUCCGUGAAGGUAAACCCAUCACUUCCCUCUCGGUUUUACUCCUCCUUGAGCUUCGAUUUAUAGAUUACAGCCCUAAUCCGAUUCCGGUCUUUUUUGUGUUUUUUCUGGUUUCUCAUCGAGCUCUUCUGACGACUGUGUUCUUGAGCUUUUGGCGUUCUCGUCGAGUUUUGGUGGACCUCAAAUGCGUUUUGGGUGGCGUUUUGGAGGCAGCAGUUGCGGUUGGGAAGGCAGAGCCUAGGUUCUCGGCGAGGACUACUAUUCCUCCACCUGGUCGUCUGUUGGUCACCAAAGGGGGUUCUACUUGUGACGAUCCAGCAAGGAGGAGCCACUGAGUUCAUGAAUUUGAGUGGAUUGGAGAGUUUACGGGAAGGCUAAGGUGAAAUUCCGGCAAGUCGCCGGAAUCUGGCGAAAGAUUCCGGCGAGGGCAGAAUCCGGCAGAGACUGUUGAGACGUAGGUUUGACUCGAGAAUGUGAAUAGUUAGAGGCAGCGCUCGAGGAGUAUUUCGAGCGUUGAAAGGCUUGAGCUUAACUUUUUGCAGGUUAGCAUAGUUGAGGUCGAGCGUACAUGAAGUUA